CCUACGGGUGGCAGCAGUGGGGAAUAUUGCACAAUGGGCGAAACUCUGAUGCAGCAACGCCGCGUGAGUGAAGAAGGAUUUCGGUAUGUACAGCUCUAUCAGCAGGGAAGAACAUGACGGUACCUGACUUAGAUGCCCCAGCUAACUACGUGCCAGCGGCCGCGGUAAUACGUAGGGGGCAAGCGUUAUCCGGAUGUACUGUGUGUGAAGGGGGCGUAGACGGAAGGGCAAGUCUGAGGUGAAAGCCCGAGGGCCAACUGCGGGACUGCAUGGGAAAAUGCGCGGCUAGAGUGCUGGAGAGGUAAGCGGAAUUCCUAGUGUAGCGGUGAAAUGCGUAGAUAUUAGGAGGAACACCAGUGGCGAAGGCGGAUUACUGGACAGUAACUGACGUUGAGGCUCGAAAGCGUGGGGAGCAAACAGGAUUAGAUACCCCUGUAGUC
rnacentral:rRNA from 1 species